UCAUGCUGUGCAGUAUUAAUGUUUUCACAUUAUUACUUUAUAGUGUUUAAGGUAGAAUAUAUAGUUACUUCUUUAGGUAUAGGUGUUCAAAUUACAUUGUUUCAGUAUAGAAAAGUCACUGUUAUAUAUUAAAAUAACUUUCCGUUAUAUAAGUAAUCAGAAUUACAUGUGGUUUGUUUGGGAGAUGGGAUUGAAGGAGGCACAUGGUUAUGUUGUUGUUGUUGUCAAUGAAAUGAACUGAAAAUGAGAAGGUUGGGUCGGAUGAUCUCCGUGGUCUUUUCCCACCUCCAUGAGCAGUGUUUGCUUUCCCAGCUCCUUCCCCGGCAGCCCACAGCAGACGUCUGGGGGGAGCAGCACUGCUUGCCUCUUGGAGGGCGAUUUCAUGGCCAGGCUGGGAAUGUGCGCCGCGUCCCUCUGCCACGGGGCAGAGAUGCUGCUGGAGGAGGUUCUGCUCAUCUGCUGUGCUCCUGAGAUGGGCACCCUCUGCUCCGCCAAGGGGCCUGCUGCUGGCUCUGAGCGCUGUGUGCUGCUGGACAGCCGGCUGUGCUCGUGCUGUAGGGGUGCCAUGCGGUUUGGCAAGGGGCUGGAAUGGGACCCAGCACCAUCUGCAGCACAGAGAGGGUGUGAGAACCCCAGAGCCCCAGAGCUGGCCUUGGGCAAACAGGGAAACCCAACCCACAGCGAGCCCUGCGCAUGGACAGUGCUGUGCCUGGCCAUGGCCACAAGCCCAGGUCUGCGGGAGUGGGGACCCAGGUGGAAUGCUGUGCCAUGUCUGCAUCUGCAGCACCACAAACACAGCCCAUACACACAUCUGGGCUUUACGUGGCCCCCCGUGGCUUUUGAGGGCUGUGUCAGCUCAGUGAGCAGCUCCUCCAGCUUGGGGCAUCCUCCUUGGGGAUGCAGUCAGUGGCAGGGAGAACAAACAGACAGCACUGGGGCAGGAAUGGUGUGUAAGGUAGAACUCAGGGUGGAUUCGGGAACAGAUACAGGCAGGGAGUUGAAAGGCACACGUUGAGGCGUGAGGGAGACAUUAGGUUUGCCAUCAAAGGCUCAUCCCCAUGGUCUGGGCAUCCAAGACCAUUUUGCUUAAUUACAUCCUGAAAGUGUGCAAAAGAAGUGCUGGGAGAGAGGAUUUCACAGCAGUCCAGCAGGCUGGAGGGAGGGGAGCUGCAGAGGAGGAGGCUGAAGUGCUCCUGUCCCAACCAGAGAAACAGCCAGGGCCGUGCAAAGGGGCAGAAGAGCCCCGUGGUGCCCAGCCCAGCACAGAAGAGGGCCGAGGGAAGAGCCAGCAUCACCCCGCACUGCACUGCACACCCAUACACGUUCAUGCUCCUAAUCGUAUCCAGUUCCAGGUUAGUAAUGAGCAGAGUUGCCUGAGCAUCGCAGGGGCAUCGUGGGAGCUCUGAAACAAGUACAGACUCAGCAAGGAAAAUAUCUGAUGGCGAUUACAGCGACCAGGUCGGGAACCAGGCAGGAGGAAUUGUUCAGCAUGGUUUGGGGCCGACACUCAGCCUGGGGAAGUGCUGCAUGCAGAACGUGAUCCAUCACAGCUCCUGCUGAAUCCCAUCGGGGGGAAAUGUGGAGCACUCUGUCCAAGCUGGUGGGGUUGUGAUACACUGGGAAGGAGCAGACUCGUGUCUUCCAGGAGCUGGAAGUCUUCCUCCAACAGAGGCAGCCCAGGAUGAAUGGGCGCUGGGAGGGGCGGCCUUUGGGCACAGGGGAGGUAGGGGCAGUGCCAAGGCUGUGUGAGCAGCCCCAUUUGCACAGGGAAGGAGCAUCCCUGGGUGUACGUUUUCCUGGGAAGGGCACCAGGCGCAGGCAGCGGGGAGCAUUCAGCAGGGGAUGGCCACACAGCACAGGGUCACAUCUCCUGAGUUCUUCACCCUCUGCUCUCGUCUUUCUCCCCUCCAUCUCCCUGUGCUCUGCAACUUCCUGGCCAUCCUCCCCCACCAUUUCCCAUUACUUCCUCUCCCUCCCCUUCCUGCCCCUUCCCAGCCCUCCACAACCUCCUGUUUCAGGUAUGUUCAGCGUUCUGCCAAGCAGGUUGUGCCUGUGGCCUCG
ensembl:lncRNA